rnacentral:lncRNA from 1 species
UUGUCACCAAAAUUUAUAUUUGUCAUCAAGUUGUAUCACCUAAUAAAUAGAUCUAUCGCCACGAAAUAUUUUCGUUCUCAGAUAAACAAAGAGUGUUCCCAGGGAAGAGGAAGGGAAGGGAGACAAAUUGGCGCGCUUUCGGGCCUCAACGAAUGGGUUGUAGGUUGGUUGUAGGUACGAUCAUACGAUGCAAGCAUAUUAUCGGAUUAGCCAUAGGCGUAAAGGUGGCCAACCCCCCACCAGAAGCAAAAAAAUUACUUAUCGGCCAGAAAAAAAAAGAGGGCGCCCUUGAAAAUCCAAACCAGCGCUGAUUAUUCAGUGAUUGUUAUUUUUAACAAUAAAUAUUGAUUAUUUUGACUUUAA